rnacentral:rRNA from 1 species
AGUCGGGCGAGAAAGCCGGGGCAACUCGGCGAGUACAGCGGCGGAAGGGUGCGUAAUACAUGGAUAACGUACCUUCCAGUGGGGGAUAACCCACCGAAAGGUGGGCUAAUACCGCAUGACGGCGGGAGGCGGCAUCGCUUCCCGCUCAACGACGCGAGUCGCUGGAAGAGCGGUCCAUGGCCUAUCAGCUAGUUGGCGGGGUAACGGCCCACCAAGGCGAUGACGGGUAGCCGGACUGAGAGGUUGAACGGCCACACUGGGACUGAGACACGGCCCAGACAUCUACGGAUGGCAGCAGUAGGGAAUCUUGCGCAAUGGGCGAAAGCCUGACGCAGCGACGCCGCGUGGGGGAUGAAGGCCUUCGGGUUGUAAACCCCUUUCAUGAGGGAAGAACACUGACCUAACCUCAGGAAGAAGCACCGGCUAACUCCGUGCCAGCAGCUGCGGUAAUACGGAGAGUGCAAACGUUGUUCGGAUUUACUGGGCGUAAAGGGCACGUAGGCGGCCCGGC